AUUGAACGCUGGCGGCAGGCUUAACACAUGCAAGUCGAGCGGGGUGAUGGUGCUUGCACUAUCACUUAGCGGCGGACGGGUGAGUAAUGCUUAGGAAUCUGCCUAUUAGUGGGGGACAACAUCUCGAAAGGGAUGCUAAUACCGCAUACGUCCUACGGGAGAAAGCAGGGGAUCACUUGUGACCUUGCGCUAAUAGGUGAGCCUAAGUCGGAUUAGCUAGUUGGGGGGGUAAAGGCCUACCAAGGCGACGAUCUGUAGCGGGUCUGAGAGGAUGAUCCGCCACACUGGGACUGAGACACGGCCCAGACUCCUACGGGAGGCAGCAGUGGGGAAUAUUGGACAAUGGGGGGAACCCUGAUCCAGCCAUGCCGCGUGUGUGAAGAAGGCCUUAUGGUUGUAAAGCACUUUAAGCGAGGAGGAGGCUCUUUUGGUUAAUACCCAAGAUGAGUGGACGUUACUCGCAGAAUAAGCACCGGCUAACUCUGUGCCAGCCGCCGCAGUAA
rnacentral:rRNA from 1 species